GUGUGUAUGAAAAAUUCAAAAACUCCUGCUCAACGUAACCCGAACGCAUGUCGCUGUUGACCAUGUUCGGUAGGAAGGAUCGCAGCCUACACCGGAGGAGUUUCGGGAAAUGUGAGCAAGAUCAAAGAAUGAAACCCCGGAAAGGGAAUGCUACAUAUUAUAAAAUACUAUUUGCUAGCGUGCGUCCAAGGCGUAAUUUCCGUGAAAUAUUGUUGACGCGAUCUUCGCACGUAUAUAUAUAAUCGACGAAACGAACACUAUACGACACAAGUCGAGAGCUAGCAGCACCAGCAUAACACACCCAUUAGCCACCAUGUUCAAGGUGUUUUCUCUUUUUGCGUUCGCCCUCGUGGCGUGCGUCGUCGUGCUUGCUAUAGUGACGCCAUCGCUUGGUCAGGUCUAUUACGCCAGCUAUCCGUACGCCUACACCUACGGUUACCCCUAUGCAGCUUAUGGAGCAUACGCUUAUGCCCCAUACGGCGCAUAUGGAUACUAUGCUGGUUACCCAUACCUGCUUAAAAAGUAAACAUCAAAUUGGUAGUUUGCCUCUUUGCACAAUGAUGCUUACGAACCGGAAAAUGACUUUAUAAAUAAACUUGUUAUUAAUUUUAA